rnacentral:sRNA from 1 species
GUGCUAGAGAUAAUAUUUGUAUGUUGC